UACGUAGGGGGCAAGCGUUGUCCGGAAUUAUUGGGCGUAAAGCGCGUGUAGGCGGCCAGAUAAGUCCGCUGUGAAAUCUCGAGGCUCAACUUCGAGCUGUCGGUGGAAACUGUCUGGCUAGAGUCCGGAAGAGGAGAAUGGAAUUCCUGGUGUAGCGGUGAAAUGCGCAGAUAUCAGGAAGAACACCUGUGGCGAAGGCGGUUCUCUGGGACGGUACUGACGCUGAGACGCGAAAGCGUGGGGAGCGAACAGG
rnacentral:rRNA from 1 species